AGAGUUGCAGCUCAGUGACAGAGCCUCCGCCUUGCAUGCACAAGGUCCCAGGUUCAAUCCCCAGCAUCUCCA